CCCUUAGAUGUUCUGGGCUGCACGCGCGCUACACUGAUGCACUCAACGAGUUUACGACCUUGCCCGAUAGGGUUGGGUAAUCUUUUUAAAAUGCAUCGCGAUGGGGAUAGAUUAUUGCAAUUAUUAAUCUUCAACGAGGAAUUCCUAGUAAGCGCGAGUCAUCAGCUCGUGCUGAUUACGUCCCUGCCCUUUGUACACACCGCCCGUCGCUCCUACCGAUUGAGUGCUCAGGUGAAUAAUUCGGACUGCAGCAAUGUUUGGAUCCCGAACGUUGCAGCGGAAAGUUUAGUGAACCUUAUCACUUAGAGGAAGGAGAAGUCGUAACA
rnacentral:rRNA from 1 species